UAAAGAUAAGAAAGAAAGAAAAAAUUGGCUACCUUUAUCGCACAAUAUUACUACAUAAAUAUCUUGAUUCGUCAAUAACUAGCGACCUGAGGCCCAAUUCUCAUGCAAUCGAGGUUCAUAUCAUCAAUUUUCUAUAAUAUUUUUCGAAGGUUUAAUCGGAGUCCAAAUCGAAAAAGUUCGAUUUAUCGGUGCAGUUUUUCGGUUGAAGUUUUUCGAUUGUGAAAAGGUUUGGAAAGAUUUAUGAAAUGAACUUCGAUUGAGUGGGAAUCGGCCCCCUGGGGUCUAAAUAAAAGUGAAAAUACCGAAAUCCGUUGCAUAAAGCUUAGAAACAGACAGACGCGCAUGUGGACUUUGUUUUAUACUAUAUAGCACAUAAGGAAAAGUGUCACGGGAUCUAUCUACACAACAAAUAACUAAAUCUUAUUAGCUACCAACAUUCAUGUAGUAUUUCGUUAAUUACCUGAAGGUACUUAAAAAACUUUCUACUAGUCAUGGUAAAAACUUACCUUUAUGCAAAAGUAGUUUCAUCACAAAAAGCAAGGUUUAAAUAAAGAAAAAUAGAAAUGAAACAGUGAAGGGCUGUAACUAUUGUCACGUGGUCAGCUAAACUGAAGUGGACACUCCGCGAUCGUCUGUCCGACCCAGGACAGAGAAACACAUGGAGCCAACAAUCUUAUUUUCAUAUAAUUUUAUUGAAAUAUUCUUUUUUACAUGUAACACGUGAUUUUUAAAUAAAUGUGGAUUCGAUUCCCGCUUGAUUCCAGAAUAGCUCGACGAUUUAGUGAAAAUUUCGGUAUAACAUUGCCUUGAGUGAGUGACCGAGCCCAGGGACCACAUUUUCGUGUCCGUUUCGCGCGGUUUCCAGCAUCGCUAACUGUCAGACUGUCAAUGUUUUUAUGCUUUUGAACAUUCUUAUCCUAUUUACUUUGUUAUUUAAAUUAGGUAGGAACAUUAUACUGUCGCUCGUUAUAACUGCAACCUUGUUAAGGAUUUUUUUGGGAAAAAACUAGAAAUAUAUAAUUGACUAAUACAAUAAAAUUGUAGUCGAAAGUCUAAAAGAAAGUUAUUUUUGUAUAUACUUUUGCAACAAAGUUUGCGUAGAUUAGAUUAAGAAAAUUGUUUUAAAAAGUCGAUUUAGGUAGAUUCUUAAUUAUACCUCAUAAACAAUAAAAUGCUUUUUUUCAAUGUUCGUGUUUUGAUAGUAUAUUGUUUUGAUGCAAUAAAGUGUAUUUUAUUUACUCCAUUUUAAGUAUCCGCAAGUUCAUACUCAAUGUUAAAAAAAGGUAGGCACGAUUCGGAAUAAAACAAUUUCUAUCAUCAUGAAUGUUAAUUCAUAUUUAAUAAAUAAAUACAUUUUCCUUGUUUUUUUUUUUUAAUAAAACUAUUGUAAGUGACUUUGCUGUAGCAUGUUUCAAUUCAACAACUUACUAUACAACAUACAAGUUGACGCGAACGCGUUUAUUGCUUAAUCUAAAUUUAUGUAACAAUUAUAUAUAACUAAGAGAUAUAUAUUAGAAAUGUUCUUCAAUAUACAUAGAUGUUAAUAAUAAGUUAGUAUGUUACAGACAGAAAACUCGAGCUAAAAUUAACUAAACUAAACAUAUACAGUACAGUAGACAUAGAAAAUGAUAGAGGCACAAUUUUGACUCAAAAAAAUUAUCCAAAUUAUGCAUAGUAGGCAUAGAAGAUGACACUAAAAUACCAAAAUGACACAUGUCAAAAUUUAAUUUAAUAAACAAUCGUUCUCAAAUAUAUUGUUAGGAUAAUAUUUGUAGUUUCAUUUCGAAAACAUACACACAAAUCUAUGUACCAUAACGUCAAUUUACAGGAAGAACCAAGUGUUUUCGAACACAAAAAAAUACAUCUUUGGUUUCAAGCGAAAUUUACAAAAGCAUUUACACACAAAAAUUAAUUGACGUGGUCCGAUUGAAAUAAACAUUACGAUAUUUACUCCCGUAUUUUAUUUACUUAAAUAAAAAUUUACACACUUAAAAAAUACGUAUACGAUCAACCAUUGUGAUAUUUAGAGGUUACUAACCGUUGUAAAGACAAAACGGUUUUAGGGUGGAAUUGAUAUGAAAAAUAUAUUGUAUAAAUUAAUCGGACCACGUCAAAACUAUCACAAAAUAAUAUUCCAUUUGAAUAUCGACGCAUAUCGCUUGAAAUACGCCCACGAUUUAAUUUAAACGCAAUUCGAAUCGUAAAUGAUUCGUAAGGAAUGAUGGUUUCGUAAAGUCCGGACGAUCGUGUACCAUCACCGUAUUCAAAACCGAAAUUAAAUAUCACUAUUGAAAUAUGGAAAUAAUACACCAGCCCUUAUUAUUUAAUUAUAUCAACCUUACACCACAUGAAAAUGGUUAAUUGCAACGAAACAUUUAUCAAUUCCUUUCUUUUAUCAUGCAUUACAAUUUUAUUUUAUUAUUGCGGACUUUUGAAAGUCCGCUUCAACACCUCGUUAGACUUUAAUAAAAAAGUAAAGUAAAAAGGGCACCAGAAAUAUUUUAUAAGUAAAUACAGUCGAAAUUGUAUGUAAUAACUUCAUAACUUUACGAAAAUCAAAAUUAUAUCUAUACAUUUCUGUAACACACAAGAGAUUCAGAGUAAAAAUUAAUCAAUUCCGAAAGAAAUCUGAAUAGAAUGAAAUCUCAAUCAUAAAAAUUACAUUUAUAAAUGUACUUAAAUAAUUUUGAAAUAUCACUUUUUACAUUUCAAAUUAACACAAAUGUUAUCAUAAAAGUUGGAGACGCAGACAGAGAAAGCCAUAUAUUUCGCUAUAUAUUCCAUUUCGCUCAUUCAAGAGAAAAUCGUAUUAGAAAUAAACUAGCAGUAAUGGGGCAGAGCACUAAUAUCUUUCAUCCCGUGGCGUAGUGAAUAGUUCUAUUUCAUGUGGCUACGCGAACACCGCUUUUAUAGUUUUCUUUCUGUCGUAAAUUUAAAGGAAAUUUAGGAGUCCAUUCUCAAUGAAUCGGUCAUUCUUUAUUCUUCUAUCUACCCACGUAUCAAACAGUAGAAACAACAAGCCUACAUAACCGGUAAAAAGUCAACAGUUAAGUAGUUACGUUAAAUUUUUAAUUAGUCAACACUUUUGACCGACCGCGAUUAAUUGGAUACAAUUCUAUCUCACGAAGUCGUUACAGUAUGUUUAUGUUCAAGUACAUAUGUACUUAAACGGCCAUCAAUAAACCAUUUAAAUUUCAAUUGAGAAACAUAUAUAUGUUUCUCAAAAUAAAUGACAUUGUUGUUUUUACAUAACCAUACCGUUGUUGUUAAACUUCGAGCUUUGAACACAACUAAUUGUAUAUUAACAGGAUUCAGUACGAAUCCUUUCUUAUAGCUGACGUUUCGUGUGACGUUGCCGUCGCCGUGGUCUAAAUCGUAAGAUGACAAAAACACACUUUUAUGGUAAAGAUGUAUGCCAUCGUAUACCGAUGACAAAUUUUUGUACAACUCUCAAAUUAUUUAAUAACAAAUUUCAUAACAACGACAUGAGAUAGAUAUUCUGAUCGUUUCAAUUAUUAUCCUUGUCAAAGUAAUUUAACUGCCAGUAUUUUUUUAUAUAUCACGGAUCGGCCAUCUAUCAUAAUUAUAAAUACUUAGAACUAUUCAUAGGUAUACAUGGUAAUACAAUGGAUAGGAGCGGUAACGUUGACGAUACGAACAGACAGACAAAUAAACGUAUAUAGAUCGAAAAGCAGCCUUUGAUCAGUCGGAAACGAAUAGGAUUGGAAGAUCUUAUAUUUAUUAUAAUAUAAUAUUUUUGUUAUUUGGACAAAUGCAUCGAAAAGACUAGAUUACUACAUUUACGAAUAUUCAAGUUUUUUUUUCAACCCAAACAACGUAAGGGAUAUAGUGGACCUAGCCUAUUUUUAAAACUCUUCAAAUGACCUAUUAAGCUAAUAAUAAUCAUCAACAAUAGUGAAUAAAUUCGUAUUU